GGGCAGAUGCCCGAGCGGUCUAAGGGGCUGGCCUCAAGAUCCAGUAUCGUAAGAUGCGUGGGUUCGAACCCCACUCUGCCCA
rnacentral:tRNA from 1 species